rnacentral:rRNA from 1 species
ACAGGUAGGCGGGUAGAGGAUACCCAGGCGCGCGAGAGAACUAUCGUUAAGGAACUAGGCAAACUGGCCCCGUAACUUCGGGAGAAGGGGUGCCGGGGAACGGGGAGGCUGUAACGCCGAACUCAACUCCGGUCGCAGUGACAGGGCUCGAGCGACUGUUUAACAAAAACACAGGUCUCUGCUAAGGGGAAACCCGCAGUAUAGGGGCUGACGCCUGCCCAACGCCAGAAGGUUAAAGGGAGAGGUGAAGGGGAGCCUUCGGGCAAACUGGCAGCUUUGAACUGAAGCCCUGGUGAGUGGCGGCCGUAACUAUAACGGUCCUAAGGUAGCGAAAUUCCUUGUCGGGUAAGUUCCGACCUGCACGAAUGGCGUAACGACUUGAGCGCUGUCUCAACGAUAGACUCGGUGAAAUUGUAGCACCUGUGAAGAUGCAGGUUACCCACAAUAGGACGGAAAGACCCCGUGGAGCUUUACUACACCCUGUCAUUGUGUUCUCUGCUGGUCUGUAGAGCGUAGGUGGGAGCCCGCAAGGGCGCCAAUGGAACACCACCCUGGCCAGUGGGGAGCACUAACCGGUGCUGGUUCGCAGCCCGACCGAGACCGUGGCAGGCGGGUAGUUUGACUGGGGCGGUCGCCUCCCAGAAUGUAACGGAGGCGUCCAAAGGUUCCCUCGGCCUGGUUGGAAAUCAGGCGCAAAGAGUAUAAGGGCACAAGGGAGCUUGACGGUGAGAGCGACAGCUCGAGCCGGGACGAAAGUCGGGCCUAGUGACCCUCUGGUGGGGUGUGGAACCGCCAGGGCUUAACGGAUAAAAGUUACCCCGGGGAUAACAGGCUUAUCUUGCCCAAGCGCUCACAGCGACGGCAAGGUUUGGCACCUCGAUGUCGGCUCGUCGCAUCCUGGGGCUGGAUUAGGUCCCAAGGGUUAGGCUGUUCGCCUAUUAAAGCGGUACGCGAGCUGGGUUCAGAACGUCGUGAGACAGUUCGGUCCCUAUCCAUUGUGGGCGGAAGAGUAUUGAGAGGAGCUGCUCCUAGUACGAGAGGACCGGAGUGAACUGACCGCUGGUGUACCUGUUGUUGCGCCCGCAGCAGAAGCAGGGUAGCUAUGUCGGGAAGGGAUAAGCGCUGAAAGCAUCUAAGCGCGAAGCUCGCCUCAAGAUGAGUACUCUCACCAGGUUAGCUGGGUAAGGCCCGUGGUAGAGAACCACGUUGAUAGGCGGUCCCUGGAAGCGUUGCAAGGCGUGGAGGGCAGCCGUACUAAUCGGCCGAGGGCUUGAUCAC